AGAUACCCGUCAUCAAUAUAUACACCAAACAAAUUUCGCCGCCAAGAAAUGAAAGCAGCCUUGGCUUAUCCACAAAAAGCUAAUCAGGACAGACCGGACAUACAUUGCAUAGAUCCGGGCUAUUAAGUGUUAAGAGGAAGCCAAAGCAACAGGAUGGUACAAAUGACAGCGGAGCCGCCCAUUAUCGAAAAAGGCAGCACCACAUGGAAGACCAUGAGCCAUUUUGCAGCCCAAGGUGCCAUUGCAUAACCAAUUUGACAAGCGAUUUGCAGAAAGCCAAUUCCAGCACCUCUGUAUAGGAUAAAAUUCAAACAAGGAAUCACGGAGACCGCAAUGCAUGAUAUCCCGGAUAUAAACAUGGGAAUUAAAACAGUCCUCUUUCGCCCGAUUCUGUAGAGAGAAAGUGCGUGAGUCAUUUUAGUUACCAUCUAGUAUGCCUACUAUGGAGAAAUAAGGUUCAAGGUGGGACCUCUCCAAAACGUCUUGUUAGAAGCACAGUUGUCUGAAAUUUAUUUCCAAGAAGCAAGAACCUGAGAACCUAGAAACCAAGAAACCUAGAAAACAAGAACCUAGAAAAAUAUUCAACUUGUAAGAGAUAAGAAUCGUUAAAAAACGCUCCGUUAUAAAAAGCUUGUAUUUGCAGAAUUUAAACCUAGCGUUUUAAAGGGUGAUAAAAAAUCGUGUUUUGUGUAAAAUACACUAUUCUGAAGUAAAAAGAAGCCACUGGUGCCACAAAAUUUGAAGACAGCACGGAAAAGUGGAAAGAUCGCAUUCUAAGAGUGUAAACUGUAAGAUAAUGACAAAAGGUGAGCAGAAUGUUGUAUCCAGAUUAAAAUUAAAAGGUAAAUGGCAUGUUUAGUCAUGGUUUGAUCGGUUCCCAUUUUUUCUUAGGGUGAAAAGUACUGAAUUAUGCUUUGUUCCAGCUUUUGCAUGCUUUCUUCAAAAUAUUUUAAACAUGAACUACAGCAAAAGAAACAGUAUACUUGUUG